rnacentral:rRNA from 1 species
UCCUACGGGAGGCAGCAGUAGGGAAUAUUGCAUAAUGGGCGAAAGCCUGAUGCAGCAACGCCGCGUGUGCGAUGAAGGCCUUCGGGUCGUAAAGCACUUUUGGAGGGGAUGAGGAAGGACAGUACCCUCUGAAUAAGCCUCGGCUAACUACGUGCCAGCAGCCGCGGUAAAACGUAGGAGGCGAGCGUUAUCCGGAUUUACUGGGCGUAAAGCGCGUGCAGGUGGUUCGGUAAGUUGGAUGUGAAAGCUCCUGGCUUAACUGGGAGAGGUCGUUCAAUACUACCGGACUUGAGAGUGGGAGAGGGAGGUGGAAUUCCGGGUGUAGUGGUGAAAUGCGUAGAUAUCCGGAGGAACACCAGUGGCGAAAGCGGCCUCCUGGCCCACAACUGACACUCAGACGCGAAAGCUAGGGGAGCGAACGGGAUUAGAUACCCCGGUAGC